rnacentral:lncRNA from 1 species
UCACUAGCGUAAGCUUGUCGCCUCUUGAAAGUAAUUUAGCUUGUCAACCAUCAAUCGUUCUGUGCGUCUUCUCGACUAAGGGCAUGCUUGUUUUAUCGAAAUUGGACUUGGGUUGAAGCGGACUUUGGAUUAAAGUGAAGUUCGGUGAAAACUAUUUCUUUCCCGCUAUUUGUUUCGUAGUCGUGGAAGUGAAGUUUUAUUAGUUCUGCUGUUUGUUUGGUAGAAAGUGUAUGGCCUUAAACUAUAAUUUAUGUAUAAAUAGUAAAUAAUUUAAUAAAUAAAAAUAAUAUAAUUAUAUUUUUAUAUAAUUAAAAUUUAAUUUAAAAUAAUUAAUUUUUUUUAUAUAUAAAUUAUAGUAAUACAACAAUAAAAUGAUAAAGUAAAAAAAAUUAUUAAUACUUAAUUAAUCAAUUUCUAUCAUAUUUUAAUUAUACAAACUAAAUAAAAAUAUUAAAACUUACUUAAUCAAUUUUUAUCAUAUUUUAAAUAUACCAACUGAAAAAAAGGUAAUUAGUACUAUAAUUAAAUAUAUUUAAAUAUAACUAUUUUUAUCUAGUAUAUUAUUUUAUUAUUUUUUUUUCACCGCUCUUCACCGUAAUUGACUUGGGCCCAUGAUAAACCGAAGUCAAUUACAUCGUUUCAGAUUAAUCCGAGUUUUGACCGUAACUUUUUUAUAGCUAAUCAAACAACGAAAGUGAUCGUUUAAGACGAGAAUGACUUUCCUCCUUUUCACUUCCGCCCCACUUUCCCACAAACAAACAUGCCCUAAACCUCUCCAAUACUCGGUCACACCCCAACUAU